AUAGCUAGGGCCAACUGGAAGUCCAGGGUUGGGCCCCGAAACUACCUCAACACCCUGUCCACGGCUCUGAACAUCCUGGAGAAAUACGGCCGCAACCUUCUCAGCCCUCAGCGGCCUCGGUACUGGCGUGGUGUCAAGUUUAAUAACCCUGUCUUUCGCAGCACGGUGGAUGCUGUGCAGGGGGGCCGAGAUGUGCUGCGAUUAUAUGGCUACACAGAGGAGCAACCAGAUGGGUUGAGCUUCCCCGAAGGGCAGGAGGAGCCAGAUGAGCACCAGGUUGCUACAGUCACACUGGAAGUACUGCUGCUUCGGACAGAGCUCAGCCUGCUAUUGCAGAAUACUCAUCCAAGACAGCAGGCACUGGAGCAGCUGUUGGAAGACAAGGUUGAAGAUGAUAUGCUGCAGCUUUCAGAAUUUGACCCCCUAUUGAGAGAGAUUGCUCCUGGCCCCCUCACCACACCCUCUGUCCCAGCAGAUUCAGAUGUAGCCUGGUCUUUUUUGGAAAGAUGUUCCAUCUCUCCUGCCCUCCAGGCUCCACUCCUGGUCCCUGCUUCCUC
rnacentral:misc_RNA from 1 species